CAUCCCUUCGCAAUUACUAUUUUCACCACCCACGCUAGUGUCAUGUUUUCUUUUUGUAUUUUUUGCACCCCUUACACAACAGAAGUCAUGGCACCACAAUGUUGUGACUGUGAGGCAAGGCGUGGGCCACCGUGGUGUGACGACGAGGCAUUAUGUGUUGAUGUUGUUGUCAAUGUUGAAUGAUCUGUUGUGUUGAUGUUCUUCUUCCAUUUCUGUUUUCUCCUCUUUUUUGGAUUGUUGGUUGAUUGUUGUACUUCUCUGUUAAAAAAAUAUUGCCAAGGAACACUUUCUUGUCAAAGCAACGAAGCUUGUUUUUAAGAAACUCUCCCUACCACAUAGAUUUGCUCCAAUAAAAAAGAAAUUACAAGAUAUGGUUUCUUCACUUAAGAAAAUUUCCAAAGAACCCCAUUGAAGAUGUUGUAAUCCACUUAUCACCCAUAAGCUUAGGCAUGGCAACAAAAUCCAACCCUGUAGGAACUGAAUCGAACCCGUCUCGACUUUGAAGAAGAAAAACCGCGUUGACUAAGUUUGGGGUCGGAUUCAGAUUUUUCCCAAUAACCCAAAGCGGGGGUAGGAGUGGGUAUGAAAUUACUGAUAUCUACCCCGACCCUAACCCUGAACCCACCCCGAAAUUAUAGUGUAUAAUAUUCGAAAGUCAAAACUCAAAACUCAAAACCUAAUUCUUAAAACCUAAUCUGCACCGCGGCUCCGCACUCCUCACUCUACUGCCAAAUUGGAGUGUCGAUUUGGAGUUGCCACUCCUCUACUUCGAUCUCCUCUCUGAUCUCAAUUCCCCCAUCGACAAGGACACCAAGGUCUCUCUUUCUCUUAACCAUCCAUCGCAUUGUGAGUAUUUGAAGUGUCUGGUUUGCUUUGUUGGUAGUGGAUUGCAUUGUAGUUUUCCAUUUCCUCCUCUUCUGACCAUCAAAACACAUGUCCCUAAACAUCAAGAUAGCUUUUCACUGUCAUGUUCUAUUCUGUAUCUCAACAUUUAAUUAGUUUUAUUAAUUUGAGUGAAAAUUUUUAGUGCUUCAUUUUGGUUCUGUUUAUGUUCUCAAGAAAAAUAGUCAAAAAAGUGAAAAACCUUUACCUUGUUUGUUUGUGCUAGGGGCGCACAGUAUGCUUACUGUAAGCAGUGUAUAUUUACUUUGAACCUUGUUUGAAAACCAAAUGAAAGAAAAAAAAUGUUUAAAAUCAAUAUUUUUCUUUUUCUUUUCUUUCAUUUCAUGCCAUGCCAAUAGUAAAUUGGUAAAUAUACAAUUUAGUACUAAUAAAAAAAAAGUUGCCAAUAUGAUACCAUCUGCUCUGUUUUGAGCCAUGACCAAGCUAUACUUACAAUGCACGAGACAGAGCAGAGUGGUACUAUUCACAUUACAAAGAUUCUGUUGUCUAUUUGUGAAAAUUUUAAAUGUAUUAUGAAAGUUUGGUUAUUACAACCCACUGAGCCAAAGGCAGUCAAUGUUGCCACUUAGCACUUUCAAGAAAUUAAAAAAAAAUGAUGAAAAUAGUGUCGUUCGAAUCUGAUUUUCUUCUAGCAUAUCAAUGUUUUCCGCGUAUUGAAAAGAUCUGUGUAGAGCCAUCUGCUUUUUGUUUGUCACGCUGCAUCAUAGUAGUAAUAGAUCUGAUCUCCAACUACUUUAAGUUGUUGGUUUUUACUUUUUUUAGAAAAAUUGUUCAAAUAAUAGGAUGUAGAAAGAAUCUCAUUUAUAAGACUAAGAUAAAUAAUAACUAAAUAUAUUUACUAACAAGGUACUGCUUGUAAGAUCAUGUUUACUAACAAGGUGCAAAGUAAAUAUACACUGCUUAUUUCUAUUAGCUUGUUUGACUUUUGACUUUGGCUAUUAGAAUUUAGAAUUUCAGGACUUAUGUUUUAAUACAUGAACAAAUAAUGGCAAAAAAAAUGUUUGUCUUGUUAACAAGUAUGCAUUGGGCAAAAGUUAACUGUAAACAUGUUUAGCUCUUUUUAUAUGUUGUGGUAAAUACUAUAAUACUCAAAUAAGUGACAGAAUAAAUAUCUGAAUACUCAAACAUUUAUAUUUAUUUCAAACAAAUUGAUAUUUCGACCAUUUAUUCGUUACUUGAUAGUUAACUAGAUCUAUAACUUAUGAACUGUACCACCAAAAGGAAAGGGAAAUUUCACUAGUUUUGUGAACCUGUUUUUUACAAAAUGUAGGAGAAAAAAAAAUAUAAGAAACACUCACACAACUAAUAGUCUACUUCCAGUUUAUCUAUUGAUAUUUCUUUAGAUGAUGAGUUGGUGAAUGUGUAUAGAGUACGCGUAACUCCAUCCAAAAUAUAAUUGUGUACUGAAGUGAACCUUUCCAAAAGUGUUUUAUGCAACUAUCUUGAAGACACUGAUAACUUCUUCCGUGUUUCUUUCGUUGAUAAGGACAUGAAAGAGUACAAUCAACACUAAAAAAAUGACAUAACAGCUGGUGAUAAGAAUUUUAAGUAUCUUUCCUUCUCACCGAGUCAAUUAUGGGAUAAUUGUAUGGAUGUUUGCAUUAAAGGCACUGGACUUGUAUGCUACAUCUGAUAUAAAAAAGUGGAUGGGAGAUUUUGAUGAAAUUAGAAAUUGUGUCUUACUGCAUCUCCCCUUGGUUAAUUACUAUGUUAUAUUGCCAGUGCUAAAAAACUACUCUAUUUCUUAUCCUAAUAAAACAUCAUAAAGGACUAGAAAAAAAAUUAUAAAAAGAUAAAUAAGAUAAAUUUCAAAUUUUUUUAUUGAUUGAUUUCCUAAAAGAAAAAUAUAUUUAUAUCGAUUAGUUAGACUGAAUCAUUCUUAUUUAAUUGGUGUAAUUGUUGAAUCAUUGGGCUAUUACUCAAAUUUACUGCAUAUAUUGCAUGUUGCAUUUAUCAUACUACUUGUUUGGGAGAAAAAAAAUAUGAUAUUAGUGUUUUGUUUUCUUUCCCGGAAAGUAGUGUAAGAUAUUAGUUUUUCAUCGGAAGGAAUUUGUCUUAUUCCUUUAUCAAUUAAUUAGUCUCCUUCUCCUUCACCAAUUGAUCAGACUCAUUCACUUAUUCAAGUUGAUCUUACACCUUCUCCUUCACCUAUUAAUGUUGAUCCUACUCCUUCACCUCAUGAAGAUGAAGUUAAUAAUGUGGAGGCGCAAGGAGGAAUAUGUAGGCUGAAAAGUAAGAUUUGGUAGCAUUAAAAAAAAUUAAAGUCAAUGGUUUAGACAAGGCUAAAUGCAAGUAUUGUAAGAAACUUCUUGGUGGAAAAUCAAAAAAUGGAACCAAACAUUUGUGGUAGGAUAAUGAGAUUUGUGUUCAGUACAAGAUUUUUAUGAUAGGGAUGAAGGGCCAAACAUUUCUUACACCUAAGGUCGUGCAAGGAAAGCAAGAGUUGGGUGCGAGAACUUAUGAUGCGGAAUGUGCAAGGGGAAAGCUAGCAAAAGCAAUUAUUAUGCAUGGGUAUCCACUAUCAAUUGCGGAUCACCUUGGCUUUAGGAGAUACUUUACUGUCCUCCAACUUGUGUUUCAGGUUCCUACUAGAAAUACAAUUAAGAAGGAGAUAAUGAAAAUAUAUGAGAAUGAACGAGCAACAAAUUUGAAGUUGUUGAAUAGUCUUGAUGGAAGAGUGGUCAUUACAUCAGACAUGUGGACUUCAACAAAUCAGAAGAGGGGGUAUAUGGCUAUUAUGGCUCAUUACAUUGAUGGUUGUUGGAACUUGCAAAGUCAGAUUUUGAGGUUCUAUGAGCUAUAAAGUUGUUGCUGAAUGUGCUACUAUAAUGAAUGAAAUGAUUUCAGAUGAUGAAGGUGAAAUGAUGGGUGCUGGUGUCACUAAUUUGGAGGAAUGAUCAAGAUUUAUUUGUUGAACAAUUUAAGUUAUUUUUUUAUUAUGUAAUUUGAAAAUAUGAAACAUGUUUAAGUUGCUGAAUUAGAACUUAAAGGACAACCAACAUAGUAUAUUAGUAUCUUUUUUUUUUUGCUAAAGAGAAUCAUAGGCUAUUUAUUAUUGAGACAACAUAUAUUUAGAUGGUAUUGUAUUUUAGGAGAAAUUAAAUAUGCAUGUCCUUUAUUUCUCAUGCAA